AUUGAACGCUGGCGGCAGGCUUAACACAUGCAAGUCGAGCGAGCGGCGGACGGGUGAGUAAUGUAUGGGGAUCUGCCUGAUGGCGGGGGAUAACUACUGGAAACGGUAGCUAAUACCGUAUACCAUCAGAUGAACCCAUAUGGGAUUAGCUAGUAGGUAAGGUAACGGCUUACCAAGGCGACGAUCCCUAGCUGGUCUGAGAGGAUGAACAGCCACACUGGAACUGAGACACGGCCCAGACUCCUACGGGAGGCAGCAGUGGGGAAUAUUGCACAAUGGGCGCAAGCCUGAUGCAGCCAUGCCGCGUGUAUGAAGAAGGCCUUCGGGUUGUAAAGUACUUUCAGCGGGGAGGCGUUACCCGCAGAAGAAGCACCGGCUAACUCCGUGCCAGCCGCCGCGGUAAUAC
rnacentral:rRNA from 1 species